rnacentral:rRNA from 1 species
UACGUAGGGAGCUAGCGUUGUUCGGAAUUACUGGGCGUAAAGCGCACGUAGGCGGCUUUGUAAGUUAGAGGUGAAAGCCCGGGGCUCAACUCCGGAACUGCCUUUAAGACUGCAUCGCUUGAAUCCGGGAGAGGUGAGUGGAAUUCCGAGUGUAGAGGUGAAAUUCGUAGAUAUUCGGAAGAACACCAGUGGCGAAGGCGGCUCACUGGACUGGUAUUGACGCUGAGGUGCGAAAGCGUGGGGAGCAAACAGG